AUUUGUCACUUAGCUCAAUGUUUCCCAACCUUUUAGAUACCAGAGACUGUCUUGCUGCCUUCCUAAAUUUUGUCAGGGAAAUCUCAG